GUGAUUGGUCGUCUGGGAAGGAUCGGCCAUGGCGAACUACGGGACUGGAGUAUUUUGCUAAGCAGGAGGAAUCUGCAGUCUCUGAGCCGCCGUUUGAAGGAAAUGUGUAGGAUGUGUGGCAUCUCAGCUGCCGACACUCCCAGCAUCCUUAGUGCUUGCCUUGUGGCCAUGGAGCCUCAGGGUUCCUUCAUGAUCAUGCCAGAUUCGGUGUCCACAGGCUCUGUGUUUGGCCGAAGCACUACACUAAACAUGCAGACAUCCCAGCUACACACACCUCAGGACACAUCUUGCACACACAUCCUAGUGUUCCCCACCUCCGCUGUUGUCCAGGUCAACAGCUCCAACUACAAUACAGAGGAAAUCAGUUUUA